rnacentral:rRNA from 1 species
GAUGAACGCUGGCGGCGUGCCUAAUACAUGCAAGUCGAGCGAACGGACGAGAAGCUUGCUUCUCUGAUGUUAGCGGCGGACGGGUGAGUAACACGUGGAUAACCUACCUAUAAGACUGGGAUAACUUCGGGAAACCGGAGCUAAUACCGGAUAAUAUUUUGAACCGCAUGGUUCAAAAGUGAAUGACGGUCUUGCUGUCACUUAUAGAUGGAUCCGCGCUGCAUUAGCUAGUUGGUAAGGUAACGGCUUACCAAGGCAACGAUGCAUAGCCGACCUGAGAGGGUGAUCGGCCACACUGGAACUGAGACACGGUCCAGACUCCUACGGGAGGCAGCAGUAGGGAAUCUUCCGCAAUGGGCGAAAGCCUGACGGAGCAACGCCGCGUGAGUGAUGAAGGUCUUCGGAUCGUAAAACUCUGUUAUUAGGGAAGAACAUAUGUGUAAGUAACUGUGCACAUCUCGACGGUACCUAAUCAGAAAGCCACGGCUAACUACGUG